rnacentral:lncRNA from 1 species
GCUCAGGCUGCUCGGUAUAUCAGCCCUGGCCUUUUCUCGUGUGACCCCUCUGGAUCUGCGGAUUGACUUUCACCAAGCUGCCCCAGGAGUUGGCCAACGUGUGGGCCCGCUGCCACCCACGCACUAGCGGAGGUAGAGCGGCAGCAAUAUCGUUCAUCUAUUCAUCACCACUCUGUAAGACAGCUGUAGCUAUGAGCGGAGAGAGGCCCGUAGGAAACAUGUGGCAAACCCUUGCACAAAAGCUGCAGUGUGGAGGAGCAGAUGAAGUCCUAAAAUUGCUGCUGAGCAACUUUCAUUCUCGUCAUUCUUGGCAGGCAAUGAUAAGGGUCCAGAUAAGAAUCCUGGUGAUAAUAUAGCUAAGAUAUUUUACUGCACUAUAUAGGGAACUCAACUUGUC